rnacentral:lncRNA from 1 species
CUGUUUAGCUGGCAUGUUUUUUUCUGAGCUCCUCAUAUGAUCUUUUGGGCUAUGUGUGUCGUUUAUAAUUCGCCUUCUGUAUGUAUGGUGCUGGGCAUGGAGUCAGGGCCUCAUGCACACCACAGUCAUAUGGUAGCUCUGAUAUUAGCCUCAGAAUUUCCCAACCUUACCUAUAGCAGUGUUUUUUUUAGGUUUGGGGUGCUGCGUGAACUCUUAAAACACUGACAUCAGAUCUCUUUCUUAGGAUCUUUCACUGAACUUAGAACUCACUCAUGGGCCGGGCCAGCUCGCCAGUACGAGGCUACCCCACAUUGCUGCUUUUCCGGGGAGGUGAGAAAGUGGGUGAGCACAAUGGAGGCAGAGACCUCGACUCUCUACACAGCUUUGUUCUGCGCCAGGCAAAGGAUGAACUCUAAGAACCCUGGUGAAGUCAACACCUGGCACAAAAUGUGUGGCAAGGAGGCUCGAAACAAGACUACGUCUGCUUCCUAAGCAUCAGGCGCAGAGGCGCCUGCCAACCAUUAUGAACGUUUGUUAUUAACCAUGUGUGGGCCAUAGCUGUCCGUGAAAAGCAGCUCUAUUGGCCAAGCUCACAGUGGCGUCAGCUUUGCAUCAUGA